rnacentral:rRNA from 1 species
GACGGAGGAUGCAAGCGUUAUCCGGAAUUAUUGGGCGUAAAGCGUCCGCAGGUGGCUGUUCAAGUCUGCUGUCAAAGCGCAGAGCUUAACUCUGUACAGGCGGUGGAAACUGAAGAGCUAGAGUAUGGUAGGGGUAGAGGGAAUUCCCGGUGUAGCGGUGAAAUGCGUAGAUAUCGGGAAGAACACCAGUGGCGAAAGCGCUCUACUGGGCCGAUAACUGACACUGAGGGACGAAAGCUAGGGGAGCGAAAGGG